rnacentral:lncRNA from 1 species
GUUUGAAGACCUGUGUGAUGUUCCUAAAUAUAUCAUUGACGUUGAUUUAUAAUUAUCUUUUAUUUUUAUUUAAGCUGUUCACUAACGGCCAGAUGGCAAAAUUGAAUAUGAAGAGGAAGGUGAUGGACAAGAAGCCUUUUGAGAAGACUCCUGUUUAUAAAGAUGGAGUCAUGAAAUUGGAUUCAACAGCAACAGAGGGCUCAGUAAGGCUGUGUGCCUCUGAACACCUUAAACAUUCACCACAGGGAGGUGGAGAUCACUGCACUGUUUCUCAGGACUGAAAAACUUCAAUCAGGGACAAAGGAGAAGGUGGUGAAAGACUGGUGUGGAGCAGAAGGAGCUGCGGAAGGAAGGAGGAGGUGUAGGUGAACCGUGCCGGACACCACGCUCUGAAACAGGGACAAACCCAGGAGGCGCUGCACCGUUUUAGAGGAUCAGACAGAGACUUAAGUCAGCCAGGUUUCCUCCGGGUGCUACAGUUACCCCGACCUCAAAAAACAUGCUGCUCAGGUUGGUCCACAGUGGUGGCGCAGCUAUGGAC